UCAAGUUAUUAAGGGUGCAGGGCGGAUGCCUUGGCACUAGGAGCCGAUGAAGGACGUGAUAAGCUGCGAUAAGCUUCGGGGAGUUGCACGUAAACUUUGAUCCGAAGAUUUCCGAAUGAGGAAACUCACUUAGAGUAAUGUCUAAGUAUCAUUAAGUGAAUACAUAGCUUAAUGAGGGGAACUCAGGGAACUGAAACAUCUAAGUACCUGAAGGAAGAGAAAGAAAUUCGAUUCCGUAAGUAGCGGCGAGCGAACGCGGAUUAGCCCAAACCAAUAAAGUUUUCUUUAUUGGGGUUGCGGACAUAUCAUAACGAAGAGGUAUCGUAAUUGAAGAGGUUUGGAAAGACCCACCACAGAAGGUAAUAGUCCUGUAUGUUAAACGAGAAGACUUUAGAUAUGAUCCAGAGUACCACGGGACACGUGAAACCCUGUGGGAAGCAGGAGGGACCACCCUCCAAGGCUAAAUACUACCUAGUGACCGAUAGCGUAUAGUACCGUGAGGGAAAGGUGAAAAGAACCCCGGGAGGGGAGUGAAAUAGAACCUGAAACCCUGCACUUACAAGCUGUGGAAGCACAUUUCUUGUGUGACCGCGUACUUUUUGUAGAACGGGCCAACGAGUUACGUUAAGUAGCAAGGUUAAGCACUUAAGGUGCGGAGCCGUAGCGAAAGCGAGUUUUAACUGAGCGUUCAGUUACUUGACGUAGACCCGAAACCGGGCGACCUACCCAUGAGCAGGAUGAAGCGAAAGUAAAAUUUCGUGGAGGUCCGAACCCACGAGCGUUGAAAAGCUCGGGGAUGACUUGUGGGUAGCGGUGAAAUUCCAAUCGAGCCCGGAGAUAGCUGGUUCUCCCCGAAAUAGCUUUAGGGCUAGCCUCAAGGUGAGAGAUACGGAGGUAGAGCACUGAAUGUCCUAGGGGGUAUUGCACCUACCGAAGACUAUCAAACUCCGAAUGCCGUCAUCUUAUACUUGGGAGUCAGACUGUGGGUGAUAAGAUUCAUAGUCGAAAGGGCAACAGCCCAGAUCGUCAGCUAAGGUCCCUAAAUGUAAGUUAAGUGGUAAAGGAUGUGGGAUUGCACAGACAACCAGGAUGUUGGCUUAGAAGCAGCCACUCAUUCAAAGAGUGCGUAAUAGCUCACUGGUCGAGUGAUCCUGCGCCGAAGAUUUCCGGGGCUAAAACUUACUACCGAAGCUACGGCAUCAGUAAUGAUGGGUAGGGGAGCUUCCCAUACGGGUUGAAGCAUGACCGUAAGGACAUGUGGACAGUAUGGGAGUGAGAAUGUUGGCAUGAGUAGCGAGAUGUGGGUGAGAAUCCCACAGGCCGUAAACCCAAGGUUUCCAGGGGAAGGUUCGUCCGCCCUGGGUUAGUCGGGACCUAAGCUGAGGCCGAAAGGCGUAGGUGAUGGACAACAGGUUGAUAUUCCUGUACUACCGAUAACCGUUUGAGAGAAGGGAUGACACAGUAGGAUAAGCUAAGCACACUGUUGGUUAUGUGUGCCCAAGCAUUGAGGCAGUCAAAGUAGGCAAAUCCGCUUUGAUAAUGCUGGGAUGUGAUGGGGAGCGAAAUUUAGUAGCGAAGUAGCUGAUUUCACACUGUCAAGAAAAGUCUCUAUCGAGGUUAAAGGUACCCGUACCGCAAACCGACACAGGUGGGUGAGGAGAGUAUCCUAAGGCCAGCGAGAGAACUGUUGUUAAGGAACUCGGCAAAAUGACCCCGUAACUUAGGGAUAAGGGGUGCCACCAUCAGGUGGCCGCAGAGAAUAGGCCCAAGCGACUGUUUACCAAAAACAUAGGUUUCUGCUAAGUCGCAAGACGAUGUAUAGGAGCUGACGCCUGCCCGGUGCUGGAAGGUUAAGGGGAUCUGUUAGAGCAAUCGAAGCAGUGAACUUAAGCCCCAGUAAACGGCGGCCGUAACUAUAACGGUCCUAAGGUAGCGAAAUUCCUUGUCGGGUAAGUUCCGACCCGCACGAAAGGCGUAACGAUUUGGGCACUGUCUCAACAACAGACUCGGUGAAAUUGUAAUUCCGGUGAAGAUGCCGGAUACCUGCGACAGGACGGAAAGACCCCAUGGAGCUUUACUGUAGCUUGACAUUGGGUCUUGGUACUACAUGUACAGGAUAGGUGGGAGGCUUUGAAACCAGGACGCCAGUUUUGGCGGAGCCAUCCUUGGGAUACCACCCUUGUAGUACUGGGACUCUAACCAUAGGCCAUGAAUCUGGUCUUGGGACACUGUCAGGUGGGCAGUUUGACUGGGGCGGUCGCCUCCCAAAAGGUAACGGAGGCGCUCAAAGGUUCUCUCAGUACGGUCGGAAAUCGUACGUAGAGUGUAAAGGCAAAAGAGAGCUUGAUUGCAAGACAUACAGGUCGAGCAAGGAUGAAAAUCGGACUUAGUGAUCCGGUGGUUCUGCGUGGAAGGGCCAUCGCUCAACGGAUAAAAGCUACCCUGGGGAUAACAGGCUUAUCU
rnacentral:rRNA from 1 species